rnacentral:rRNA from 1 species
AUUGAACGCUGGCGGCAUGCCUUACACAUGCAAGUCGAACGGCAGCACGGGGCAACCUGGUGGCGAGUGGCGAACGGGUGAGUAAUGCAUCGGAACGUACCUUUCAGUGGGGGAUAACGUAGCGAAAGUUACGCUAAUACCGCAUAUUCUGUGAGCAGGAAAGCAGGGGAUCGCAAGACCUUGCGCUGAUUGAGCGGCCGAUGUCAGAUUAGCUAGUUGGUGAGGUAAAGGCUCACCAAGGCGACGAUCUGUAGCGGGUCUGAGAGGAUGAUCGACCACACGGGAACAGAGACACGGUCCAGACUCCUACGGGAGGCAGCAGUGGGGAAUUUUGGACAAUGGGGGCAACCCUGAUCCAGCCAUGCCGCGUGAGUGAAGAAGGCCUUCGGGUUGUAAAGCUCUUUCGGCCGGGAAGAAAUCGCACGGGCUAAUACCCUGUGUGGAUGACGGUACCGGAAUAAGAAGCACCGGCUAACUACGUGCCAGCCGCCGCCGUAAUAC